AUGGUUGAGGAGAAAGUUGGCCUUGACAAGGAACGCAUGCGCGCGAGCCGAGAGGUCCUGUCGGAGUACGGCAAUAUGUCCAGCACAUGUGUCCUCUUCGUCCUCGACGUGAUGCGUAAGACCUCUUCCCAGGAUGGCCAAGCAACCACUGGAGAGGGUAAGGAGUGGGGUGUCCUCUUCGGCUUUGGCCCCGGCCUCACCGUCGAGACACUCGUCCUCUACAGCGUCCCAUUGUCAACCAUUGCAUGA
rnacentral:rRNA from 1 species